AAGGAUUUAAGUUAACUAAACUUUCAACCUUCAAAGUUGACAAUAUAGACAAAUAUUUUAUAAGCCUUA
rnacentral:tRNA from 1 species